AUUGAACGCUGGCGGCAGGCCUAACACAUGCAAGUCGAGCGGAUGAAGGUAGCUUGCUACCUGAUUCAGCGGCGGACGGGUGAGUAAUGCCUAGGAAUCUGCCUGGUAGUGGGGGACAACGUUUCGAAAGGAACGCUAAUACCGCAUACGUCCUACGGGAGAAAGUGGGGGAUCUUCGGACCUCACGCUAUCAGAUGAGCCUAGGUACGAUUAGCUAGUUGGUGAGGUAAAGGCUCACCAAGGCGACGAUCGUUAACUGGUCUGAGAGGAUGAUCGGUCACACGGGAACUGAGACACGGUCCAGACUCCUACGGGGGGCAGCAGUGGGGAAUAUUGGACAAUGGGCGAAAGCCUGAUCCAGCCAUGCCGCGUGUGCGAAGAAGGUCUUCGGAUUGUAAAGCACUUUAAGUUGGGAGGAAGGGCAGUAAGUUAAUACCUUGCUGUUUUGACGUUACCGACAGAAUAAGCACCGGCUAACUUCGUGCCAGCCGCCGCAGUAACAC
rnacentral:rRNA from 1 species